rnacentral:lncRNA from 1 species
UUGAAAGUUCGCUAGGCCGGACAGAUCGUCGUGUUUGAGUUACGGUCUCGUCACAAUUAGGUACGGAAAAUUUACUACAUAAAUAAUAAAUAUGGUCAACGAUGAUGAAUUUAAAAGGUAGUCAUCUCAAACUCAAAAAUCACAUAGUUUCUAAUCGUACACUUUAUGAACUUUUUUCCCAGGUUCCUAAACUGGGAUGAUGUGGUAUAAAGGCUGGAGUAUUGAUUCCUUUUUUUCAAUUUACAGAAGUGACAUAAAUAUCUCAUACAUAACACACACACACACACACAUAUAUAUAUAUAUAUAUAUAUAU